AUUGAACGCUGGCGGCAGGCCUAACACAUGCAAGUCGAACGAGUGGCGGACGGGUGAGUAAUGUCUGGGAAACUGCCUGAUGGAGGGGGAUAACUACUGGAAACGGUAGCUAAUACCGCAUACCAUCAGAGGGGCCCAGAUGGGAUUAGCUUGUUGGUGGGGUAAAGGCUCACCAAGGCGACGAUCCAUAGAGGGUCUGCGAGGGGGACCGGCCACACUGGAACUGAUACACGGUCCAGACUCCUACGGGAGGCAGCAGUGGGGAAUAUUGCACAAUGGGCGAAAGCCUGAUGCAGCCAUGCCGCGUGUAUGAAGAAGGCCUUCGGGUUGUAAAAUACUUUCAGCUGGGAGGCGGUACCUGCAGAGUAAGCACCGGCUAACUCCGUGCCAGCAGCCGCGGUAAUAC
rnacentral:rRNA from 1 species